UUUCGCCAAUUGAAAAGGAAAACCCUAUUGGGAUGCUAAACGAAACAUACGGUUUCUCAUUCUCCCUUUCUCAUUCUCCCUUCGCCACUACUGUCAGCAAACUCUCUUCCAUAGGAGAGAAUACCACAUCUAAUCGAUUUGUUCUUCAAUCUUCCACUGGAUCUCUUUAUCACUGGUAGGAGCUCUCACUCUGUAUUGGGGAUUGGAUUCAAUCUUCGAGUCGAUCUCUCCGUCACCGGAAAGAGCUCUCACUCUGUAUUAGGGAUUUGAUUCAAUCUUCCACUCGAUCUCUCUAUCACUUGUAGGAGCUCUUACUCUGUAUUGGGGAUUUUAUUCAAUCUUCCACUCUAUCUCUCUAUCACUGAGAAAUUUUGGCAUUGGUUGGGGUCAGGAGGAGGAGGAGAUGCACCAGCAACUAAUAUGGAGAAGGAUUCUACCUCUCUAAAAUCUAUAAGCGAGCAAUAGAGUUUCAUUGAAAUCCAUUCAAGCCUAAGCAUAUCAGGGUUUGUUAUUGGUGGAUGAAGCAAACUAUUCAACUUUUACUUCACGAGCAUUCUAGCAGGACAAGUAUCUUAUAUUUGUUGAUUUUUUUUUUCCUUCAUAUUUUCUUCAAAUAUCGUCUAAUAAUCUGUAUUUUUUAUUUUUAUUUUCGUUGAAUAUCAUGUAUUUGUAUUCUUUUAAUUUGAUUUCCAUAAUUGAAGAUAGAUUGAAGAUUAGAAUUCUUUAGGUGAAAGUUUCUUGUGCGCAUACAUAGUGUAGUCUUAAUUGUGCAAUGGAAGUGUUUCAAUUGGAAAAAUCCAAGCUUGUGGCUUUAGAAUCACAUUUCAUUCUAUCAGUUUCGUUUUUUUUGGUAGCAAUUUCUAGUUGAUUGACUCGAAAACAUCUGCCAUACAUUGAGAUCACGUAAGGGCAUGAGGGAACUUGACGAGAAGAAUUCAGAAACAAAGGUACAUCUCUUUUGGUUGGGGAAAAAAAUCAUUAUUAGUUAUCUUGUGGGUAGAUAUCUCAAGUUUAACUGUCAUUCCAAAGACCUUUGUGGAGUCUUUUACCCUAUGGUUCUUUUUUAUUUUUAUUUUUUAUUGUGUUCUAUUAUUUAUAAUCUUAACCAACUCCAUUGCAGCACCUGAAAUCAAGUACACUUGUAAUUUGUAUUCAAAUUGAGUUAAAGUUGUAGACAUCUAAAAGUCUCAUUUAGGAAUCAAGUACCAUGGAAAUACCAUAAAUGUGAGGAUAUGAUGGCUAUGCCAUGUCUAUUUGGAUAAGGCCCAUAUAUUUUUCUUCUUUACAUCUACCUAACAAAUUGAUGCCUGGUAAGAUUUCAGGUAAGCAAUUGUUCUUGUGAAAAUAUGCCUCUCAUACCUUUAAGUUCUCUUUGAUAUAUUAGUUAGAACUUGCAGCUAAGGGUGGCAAUUCUAAAUGAUCUUGCCAGCCAAACUAAAAUUUGUCCAAUUUCAAGCUGGUUUGGAUUUGUUUACAAGUUAUUAGAGUGCUAUUUUGGUUGAGAAGUCUCUAAUGUUUUUAUAUAAAAAAUUUGCCUUUCCAUUGCAGGUAAAGUGGGAGGAUAACACAACUAGAUCAAAAUGGGUUAUUGUCAAUCACGCUACUUUCUUAGUUAUUUUUCAAAGGUUAUUAGCAGCCCUUGUUCCUCAGAAAGUAAUGUGAUUUUUGGAUGGGCUCAUGCUACAAGACUUCAAGCUCUUUUUGUUUAAGAUGGUUUAAGUAGUGUAUGUCCAAGUCUUUAAACCCUUUGUUUAGGAAUCUAUAGCACAUUUUUGUCUAAGAUCUGGAAACAUUUUAUUUAAGAUACUAGCUUGUUUUGGUCCAAAUUAUUGGAGUUGAAAUUGUUUUAGUUGCGA